CUGACUGAGCCACCCAGGCAGCCCUAUAUUCAUAUAAUUUGAAUGUUUGUAUCAAUGAUAUAUAUUCUAUGUGCUUCUAUUAGUACUUUUUUUAACCUAAACUUUAUAUUUUUCACAGUUUAAUUCUAUUCUGUGAGAUUUCUUGCCUUUUCCAAAGCAUGAAGAACUAUUUGGGGCCUGUCUUUAUAAUUCUACUUUUUUUGGCUAAUAUUCCAAACUAACAUAAUCUAAUUAUUGAGUCCUCUAGACCUGAAGUAAAGUAGGGCAAUAUUCUAGCUGUGUGUCCUUGGGAAAGUUACUUAACCUCUCUCUGCCUCUGAUGCUUAUCAUAUUUGUUUGUAUAAGGAUUAAAUGAAAUUUAAAAAAAAAAAAAAAAAAGCUUGGUGCCUGGCAAAUUGUAAGCCGCUGAUCAAUGUUAAUUCCAUUUUGUGAUUGCGUGGCCAUUAUGCAGGCCUCCUCCAGAGCCCCUGACACACUGAAGCAGAGAGAGAGUUCUCUCCUCAGUCUUGUUUGUAGGCCUUCUGGACACAGUGACGACAUCCCAGCUAUUCUUGUUUUGGACUUGAGUUUUGGAGUCAGUCUAGCACGGCCUCUCUUGCUUGUCAGAGGUCUUAUAUAAGGAGACCACAAGCCUUGUCCCCUCUUCUCUCUCUUCCUGUGUAGAUGGGACAUCAUUAGAACUGAGAAAAUUAAACCACCCUUGAUAAUACAUACUGCCUGAGAAAGAAACUCAGUAAAUUACUUUGAGAUCAGGAAGCAGACUAAAAGGGAUUAAAUACCUGCAGAAGAUCAAUUUGCAAGCGAUGGAACUUUGAUUCAGUCCCGGUGGUCUGACUCCAGAACCAGAACUGGGGCUAGGGCAGGUCGCCUUAUCCAACCAGCAGCAAACCAGUCAGCAGCCUGAAGCAAAAUGGUGUGAGAACAACUUUCUAAUGACAGCCAUCCUAAAUGUCACAUGCUAUUUGCCCAGGUAUCAUAUGUAUGAUUUCUUUGCUCCCAGCAUAAAAUUGACCUUUGACUGAGCUAUCCAGUGGUGGGUAUGAGCCAUAAAUAUGCAUCCCAAAUUUGAUAUAUGCCAUCCGCGGUAUAGCGAUAAGUAGCAUUUUGGAACUUAGGCACUUGUUGGCAGGAAUCAAUUUGUGGGUUUGUAAAGUUAGCCAAUAUUUUAAUAGUUUGAGGGUAUGAAAAAGUCUGGUUAUGUCCUGGUAAGUUCCAUGUCCUAUUGAUCAUGGGUCAGGAAGAAACAUUCUGAUUAGUGAUAGAUUUAUCAUGAAACAUAGUAUCAUUAUGUAUUAUUUCUGAAAUAUAAGUAUAUAGAGAGUGUCAAUCAGUGCCUUGUAAAGGGGAAACCCACCAGGGAGGCCCGGAUGUACUUGACGUGGGCAAAACUUCACAUACCCAACAAGCUGUCUGAUUUUGUAGUUCAGCCCCUUGUAGAAAGGAGUUGUCAGCAAAGAUAGGUGAAAACAAAGAGAAAAUAUGCAAUCUUCAUCAUCAUCUGGAGAGGAAUUUAAGAUCUUCUACAGGUGCACAGGAGUAAGAAGACACUUUAGUUUGCUCAUUGGUUUCCUGAGUGCUCACACUCUGUUUCUCUUUCUCUCUGAAAAAUAAAUAAACAU